AGCAGCCGCGGUAAUUCCAGCUCCAAUAGCGUAUAUUAAAGUUGUUGCAGUUAAAAAGCUCGUAGUUGAAUUUCGGGGUUAGCAGGUCGGUCGUGCCAUCGGUAUGAACUGGUCUCGCUGAUCCCUCCCUCUUGACGAACUGUGAUGCCAUUAAUUUGGUGUCGCAGGGAAUCAGGACUGCUACUUUGAAAAAUUAGAGUGUUUAAAGCAGGCUCACGCUUGAAUACAUUAGCAUGGAAUAAUGAAAUAGGACGUUUGAUCCUAUUUUGUUGGCUUCUAGGAUUGACGUAAUGAUUAAUAGGGAUAGUUGGGGGCAUCAGUAUUCAAUUGUCAGAGGUGAAAUUCUUGGAUUUAUUGAAGACUAACUACUGCGAAAGCAUUGCCAAGGAUGUUUUCAUUAAUCAAGAACGAAAGUUAGGGGAUCGAAGACGAUCAGAUACCGUCGUAGUCUUAACCAUAAACUAUGCCGACUAGGGAUCGGAUGAUGUUAAUUUUAU
rnacentral:misc_RNA from 1 species